GGAAAAGUGUCUGAACCUUAGA
rnacentral:siRNA from 1 species